AUGUCUGUGUCCCUGUUAGCUGAGGAGAGGCCGAGACGGAGCAGACAUCCACUGCAUCGCCUUCUCUCCGGAUUUAAAAUGGUUGGCGGUCAGCAGCGACAAGGCGACCGUGCACGUGUUCAGCGUCAAUGUCGAUUUGCCAAGCCUGACACCGGAGGACAGCAACGGUCCCGGCGGUCUCCUAGCAGCCCCGGCGCCGUCGUCUCCAGCAGUAGCUACAGCCAACAAGAGGUCGUCGCUGUCGUUCGCUGGAGAUUCUUGCCGGGCUAUUUCAGUUCAGAAUGGUCGUCGACUCAGAUCCGCGUCCCUGAAGGCACCAAGUACUUGGUCGCGUUCAGCAGUCAGCCAAACACCCUUCUCAUCCUCGGCAUUAAUGGACGCUUCUACCGGUGCCGAUUCGACCCGGAAAAAGGAGGCGUAGUGGACGUGCGGCACAAAGGGACGCCUUGUGGGAGUGAGGAACAAGACGUGGAGUGCAUCAACUUCAUGAAUCCGAGCAAGAAAACAUCUAAUUCGAAGCCAUCAUAUGGCAGCUAG
rnacentral:rRNA from 1 species